GCGAAAGGACGACCUUUCCCCAUCAAGGGCAGCACUCGGGACGGCCCGC
rnacentral:ncRNA from 1 species